CGGAGCUCCAAGCGAAGAGCAAGAAGACAGCGACGAAAAGAGAGGGGCAUGGAACUGAAGAAGGCCUCUCUGAGAGCUGCUGCUGCACGUGCAGAGUCCUCCGCAAUGAGCAGCCUUGUGGAGAUGAUGCAGGAGCUGCAGCUGAAGGACUGAGAGGAAGAGGAGGCAGCGGCUGCAGUGCACGGCGUUGCAGGGCAGCAUUCCGAGUGCCGCCCAACUCGGCGCCCCACCUUUGGCUGCAGUCAAUAAAAACCAGUCCCAAUCCGAGAUUGACAAGGAGCGCACGGCCCGAUUUGUCCAGCGGCAUUCCGUGAGCUGCUGCACUUCUACUGGUCCGGAGU